AUCCAAAACAAACACACACUGACAAAUCACAACUGCGCUCAGCCAUAAGGUCUGAGUCAUGAGAGCUGGUCUUCCUUUCUCUUCCCAGCACAUCUGGAUAGAAAGCUGACCAUAUUAGGUUCUGCUGACCCUAGGACAUGUGUGGUAUUGUUUAAUCAGUGGAUUUGCUUCUGGGGAAGACAAUUGAGGCAAGUCAUUUCACUGAGCCCAAGGAGGAAGUUCGAGCAACUUUGAAGCAGGCCCAGGUGUUCUGAGGGGCUACCAGCAUGGACAUACUCACAGCAACUGGGGUAUCCUGGCUGAGAGGCACACUGUGUGACCGCUCCUGCAGGGACUUAUCUGCAUCGACUUCAGAGUAAAAGACCUUGAAAAGACACAGACACCUGUAUUUCAGGAAUGGAAGCAGACCUUCAAGGAGGGAUUCCUGGCAAUGAACUCUCCACCCAGUGCCAGCACAAUUAUUGAACUGAUGGUUGUUUGAAGACCACUUAAUAUUCAUAUAAUGCAUAUGACUGAGUUUCAUCCUUACUAUAAUUUGAUAUGACAGGUGCAGGGGAACCCAUUACAACCUGCUGGAGACUGCCCACCCUCCAGUCAGCUCCUUCUCCUGUCCCUGUUCAGGACUGGAAACUGCAAGUGACAACACAGAUGCCAGAGGUCAGUGAGCAGAGAAGCUGAUGGUGGCAUGGUAAGCAGAGAAAUAGAAAAUCCACUCCUCCCCAAAUCCAGACUUGAGCGUUUCCCUGGACAAAGUCAACCAAUGACUGAAAAUGAAAUGAAUGUGUGUUUGUUUAUGUGUUUGCACAUUUACAGUCACAUUUUUCUGCCUGAUUCCACCAAAUAGUUGAAGCAACUGAGUAAUAUGGUUCUUACCCUCAAGGCAUAUGCAAUCUCAUCCAGAGAAAGACCUAUAAAUGCAGCCCUGCCAUGCAAAGAAGAAUAGUGGGAGUGCUACAAAAGCAUCAUCUGAUUUUGGAGAAAUUCAAACUAAGAUAGUAAUUAAUCUUCACUUUCUUCAUCUUUCAAAUGGGGAAAAUAAUGCCAUCUUAAAUAAUCAUAAGAAAUUGAUAAGAUAAUGGGUAUAAAGAACCUAGCAGGGUAUCUGACAUAGUAAUUAAGUGUUUCACAAAUAAUGGCUCUUCAAUACCUAGAAUUCAAAGAUCUAACUAUCUGUAGAGUAGUAAUUGCUGAAAAAUUUUAAGGAAAGGCAUGCUUUGAGGAGAUUACCAUAGCUUUGCUGGAGGGACCCUAUUUUUUGUAGAUUCCUGGCCUUCAUUGUAGGAUGGAAUGGUGGAACCCUCUAAUGUUCCCCAAAUCAAUUUCUGCACUUGGUCCCACAUGAGGGGUUACAUGUUUCUGCCAUAUGACUAAUUCUGGCCAAUGGUGAGUAGAAGUUACUGUGUCAUACAUUUAUUGGUGUGAUAUUCUCCUGUUCUUCUCUUUCCCCUACACUGGGAAUGGACAAAAUUCUAAGUUAUGAAACUUGGGUCUCUGAGUAAAGAUGCUUCAGAGCUCAGUCUUUUAUAGUCUAAUGUACAGAUAACAUAAACUAUCAGCAACUUUUAUUUCCACUCACUCAAAUUUUGUGGCUAUCUGUUAUUGCAGCAUAAGCUAGAUCAUCCUGACUAAUAUACAGGUAAGAAUAAGGAAGAUGGAAAGCAAGCUAGUUAGGAGUCGAUUGCAAUCCUGAAGUACAAAGGGUCUGAAGUAAACCUGGAAAUUGAAAAGCAAGGGAGAGAUAUAAAAGAACAGUUUUCAAGGAAGAAGAAACUACAAGUAGAAGAUAAAAGAAAAAGAAGUAAAAGCAACUCCAAGGGCUCAAACUUGAAAAACUGGAAGGAAAAUGGUCCCUCCCCCACCCCCACCCCCAAAAAAAGGGCAAAUCACAGUAAGGGUGAAGGUCAGGAAGAUGAGGGUAUAAGAAGUAAAUUUAAAGAACUUCUAUUUCCUGUCAGCAAGAGAAGACUUCCUAUUUCCCCUCCCUACUCAGGGCAAGAAUUGAGGAAUGAAACUGAGAUGAGCCACAAGGGGGUUCUCUGGGGCUACCUUCAUAACACAUGUGGGGAUCAUAAAUCCAGCUACAGGGCUUGAAUGUGGGGACCUGUCCCCAGGACCCCUGCCUUAUAGAACAGUGCCUCCUCCCACCCACAACUGCUCCAGUUGAAGAAAUAACACACAUCUGCUCUACACAACCCAGAGGAAGGUUGCUCAACAAUUUAGUUAAUUUAAUAUUGUCUAGACAACUGAAUUAUGUAACUUCAAAGGGGAAAAGAAAACAAAUGUACGUCAUUUUUUUUUUCUUAUAGCCCAAGAGUGUUUUACCAGAGAAAAUUAGCAUUUCAGCUCUCCUGAGCUUCAUUGUGGAAUUUAAAAAUACCACUUAUCUUCAAGAAUUUGUAAGAACCCUAUAUUUUCUAAACUUGUGAACAAAAUCCUCAGGAACUCAAAACUCCACUCUCAGACCUUAAAUGUGAACUAUUCAAUCAUACUAUUUGAUAUUAUAAAGUGUUAUUAAAUCAUUUGGUUUUUCUAGGUAAAGUAUAAUUGUGAAGUGAAGGCUUUCUAUCUGACCAGAAGAUGAGAAUAAUAAUAUGUAUAAUAGAUAAUAUCAAAGUAGAGACCCUUUCUUUUCCAUAGAUGUGUUUUUUUUUCCAUUUUCAAGUUUUGAAACUAUCUUUCUUUUAUAACCCCAAAGUUACAGCUAUUUUACUAAUUAUAUUGAAAGUGCUAGAAGAUGUCAAGAAAAUUGGGUAAUACAAUAAAACAGCCUUACCACAUAUUUAAGCCCUUUUAUCUUUAACAGUUUUGUGAAAUCUGCAGACCAUCUAACCUGCUCAGUGAAUUUUCAUUUAUAUUAAACUACAUUAAUAAAGAUCUAUAAUAAGAAAUUAUACUGAAAAAGCAAUUCAUAAUGUACCUUUCAGCUUUAUAAUUAGUUCUAUAAUCUGUAAUCAGAUGAUUUAAAUCUAAUAUAGUUAAAUUACAAAAUAGGCAAUUUCUGUUUCUGAGAAGAACCAUUAUAUCUUUGGAAUUUUCCAAAGCAUUAAUAACUUUGGAGCAAUUAUUAUAUUUCUUAUUCACUUUAUUCCCAGAAAUUAGCAGAAUACCUAGCAUAUGGUACUUGCUAAAUAAACAAAUGUUGAAUGAAUAAAUGAAUAUGUAAACAUGAAUAAGUGAUUAGCAAAAUCACAGUAAUUUGUCAUAGCCCCCAUUCAGCACCUGAAUGGUAUCCACUUCCAUGUCUCAACUCAGAGCACAGAUUCAUUUCCUUCUGAUUGGUUUGGUGUCCAUUUUGACUAAAUGGUACCUUUGCCUUAUCAGUCAUUAAGAAUAAGCAUGCCUGCCUCCAGAUAAUGUCACAAAUACCACUGAUCUAAGUAAGAGUCAAGAGAUGUAGGGUCUGGUCCUCCUGCCAACCCUGUUAACAUUUCUGAAUUUGUUUGCAUGUAUACUUUUUUUUUUUUGAACUGAUUUUUUUUAUGUUUUGAACUGAUUGCAAACUAGGUUCCAUUCAGACACAUAAUAGGUAUUAUAAGACUUAACUCAUAAAACUUCAAAAGGUAUAUGAUUUAUCCCCCAUUUUACAUAUGGAAAAAGAAAAUCAAGACUCAGAAAGAUCAAGGAACAUGACCAAGAUGGCAAGUCUAAGAGGUAAGGUUGUAAAAUAGGCCUAUCUAACUCCAAAUCUGUUACCUAGGACUAUUAAUACUAGUAGCAAUAGUGACAACAAAGAGAAAGAGUUUUCUAAAGUCUUAAGCAUUAUAAAACUACAAUCUAUCAUUAUCAUCUUCAUCAUCAUCAUCAUCAUCUGUCAAUCUCUUGUAUUUCUAUCAUUGUCCUCAUAGGCAUAUCUUGUCUGAAUCUGAUGGAUAUCAUUUAACUAGUCAUUGAGUCCCUGACUUGACCAGAGCUCUAUAAUGGGCUCUGACCAGGUUUGCCUUAUUCAAACCCCUUCUUGGUCCCUUUAGAUUAGACAAGACUGUCUGAGCAGGUUCACACGUUGUCAUCAUUUCAUAAGUACAGAGUCACCAUUUAGGAGACAUGUCUGCUCACACUUUUAUAAUCUGUGUGAAAUGCAAGAUGUUGCUUGUGGUAAAGUACUCCCAAUUCAGAAACUCAAGGCAAUGGUAUUGUUUUCUUCCGGGAAUAUAUCCUUAAGUCAUAAGUAUGCUGAUGUUUCAGGGUAACAUGUUGAGGAUUAUGGAGGCUUGGUAAAUGCCCACUCUGGACUUCCAAUGCCCUGGAAGGACCUCACUUUCAGCUGAAAAUAUUCCAUGGCUGUCAAGAAAGCUGAGCCCACAUUAUAUCCCCCAGGCUGAUACCUCCUGAAAUGAUUUGAUGAGAACCUACCAUUUGUGCUGAUUAGAGAAAACUGUAAAAUGUGAAAGAUGUGAGUGUCAGAGUAUCCAUCUGGACCAUGUCUUCAACCCUCCCUCUUCAGAGCAACUUCAGGUCUGCAGAAGCAGAAAGGAGAUGUGGCUAGGAAGGGCACCACCUGUCCUGUCUUGGUUCAAAGCCCACCCCUGUGACUCGUAACCUCUUUAUGCCUCAGUCUCUUCAAGAUGGUCAUGGAAAAUAUCUGAUUCAAACGUAUGAUAAAAGGAAUAAAAGUGUUAUUAUAUUUAAGUGUUUUAAAUACACUUGUCAUGUAAUAAAGCUAUGUAAAUGUUGAAUUCUUUUAAAAAAUCCUGAGUUUACUGAUCACUGUAAUUUUUUCAUGUGUAUUCCAUUAAAGAAGAUGCAGGCUUUAGGGAGGGUUGGAGACUUGCUUUCUGAAGAGGGCUUCCUCGACUGGAACUCUACCCAGACAAAAUUAGUUGACAAUUUCAUUAGGACUUGGCAGAAGCUUAUGUACAUCCUACUCUGGAGAGAUUACCUGAGCAAAACAUGAGUGUGAACAGGAGGCAGGACAUUUAUUUUCAACAAACCAAAUCAAACCUAAACAGUUUCGGAAAUCACUGUGGGCAAAAGAAAGUCUCCUUUAGUUGCUUUCUGAAUGAACCAAUAACCUUCAUUUCCUGAUACUGGCACUGAUGAUGGCCAAUGUGCCCAGAAGGCUUGGGAUGGCUGAGGUACACACUCUGGAUGGCCCAUGCAUUGGCUCUCACCCUCAGUUCCACCUGCAGAUACAUGGGGUAAAAACUCAGGGUCACCCCUAUUAUUCCUAAUUGUUGUUGGAAACAGAUGACCUUCUCUUUUGUAAAUAGAUUCAAUAAAAGUACAACAAUAAAAAACUAAGGUGACUGCUUUAGAAUAACUCCAUAAAAGUGAUUACUAAAAACAAUUACUGCAAUUCUAAAAGAAGCCCAAGACACUUAGAUCAUGAACUAUGGCUGCAAUUUAUGCCUAAACUCCUACUUGUGGGAAGAAGAAGAGAAGAGGAAGAUGAGGAGGAGGAGGAGGAGGAGGAGGAGAAAUUUGCCCUACACCUAAACAUUACCAAAUACAUCUCCCAUUGUCAUUUUUACCUGAAAAUAAAAUGUAAUAGAAUCGUGGAAAUCAUCUGUGGAACUUACUUUCUCAAUUAACUAACAAAUGAAACUAGGACUGGAUAAGAGAGCUUUUAUUUUAAUUAUAUGAAAAUAAUUACUCUUGAUAACAAUAAAUUCCUGUUUUUCUUUAUAACUAAGCUAUUGUUGUUACCUUAAGAUAUGAGCAUAAUAGGGGUUCUAGGACAUGGAUCAAGCCUAUAAGACUUUCUAUAUGUAUUGUGGAUAUAGUCAGUCAUUGUGUAUUAGUCAUUGCAGUGCUUAGUGGGUGAUGUUAUGUUCUCAGGAUUAUUUACAAUUACAACAACAAGCUAACUCUCCUAGACUUGGUUUACUGUUCAUCACACAUUUAAUCAUUACAACCAGUCUUCAUUGGUGUUUAGGAAUUGGAUCAGGCUGUUUGCCAGGAAACACAAGGGUUUCAACAGGAAAGAGGAUAUUAAUGAUGUCAUUGACCAAUGAGACUACUGAGGGAGCAAACAAAAGGAAACAGCAGCUAUCUGACAGCUCAGAACUAAUAGAGUUCCAGCACUUUAAAUCAGAAGUCAUUAAACUACAGCUCAUGGUCUAACUUUGGCCCUUGCCUUGUUUUUGUAAAUAAAGUUUUAUUAAAACAUAACAUACAUGUUUAUUUACAUAUUACCUAUGGCUGCUUUUGCUCUACAAUGGCAGAGAUGAGUAGCUAUGACUGAGA